GACUCUCGACAACGGAUAUCUCGGCUCUCGCAUCGAUGAAGAACGUAGUGAAAUGCGAUACUUGGUGUGAAUUGCAGAAUCCCGUGAACCAUCGAGUCUUUGAACGCAAGUUGCGCCCGAAGCCGUCAGGCCGAAGGCACGUCUGCCUGGGCGUCU
rnacentral:rRNA from 1 species